GGUUGUGUAGUGUAGUGGUGAUCACUCCGGAUUUUGAAACAAAUAUUCCGGCAACCCCGGUUCGAACCCGGGCACGACCU